CUAAAACAAACAUCCACAUGGUUAAGACCAAACCAGACAUUGUCAAAUCUUAGUGGAAGACUGGACACUCCAAUUUACAGUCCUGUACACAGGAAUGGUUAUCAACGCCACUGCCCUUGGACUAAAACAAAUCACAGGGCUGGACCUCUGGGGAGUGCGGGUGGCAACUGGGGUUGUGUGCAUCAUCUACUGUACGCUGGUAUACUUUUUAAAAUGUUUAAUAAUUUAGAAUCUCUUAUCCAGAACAACACUCGACUGUUCAGGGCAAACUCUAGUCAUGUUCGGAAAACCCCCCAGAACCUAUCUUUAAACACAGCAUUUUUGUGCAUAUAAGGCAACAACAUACUGCCUCCAUGUUGGAUUGAAGUUCACAGGGAGGUCUGAAGGUGAUAUGGACAGAUGUGUUCCAGAUGCUCAUCAGGUGUUAAUUUCGGACCCUGCUUCCAUACCUGUUGAUGGAUAUUCUGGCUGCUUAUCCCGGAAUUCCUGGGAUGUUUGCAGGGUUGGGUUAUGACCAGUGCCUUUGGAAAGGGUUUCUAAACCAUUGCU